UACGAAGGGUGCAAACGUUGCUCGGAAUCAUUGGGCGUAAAGCGCACGUAGGCGGCCUUGCAAGUCGGAUGUGAAAUCCCACGGCUCAACCGUGGACGUGCAUCCGAAACUGCUCGGCUCGAGUAUGGAAGAGGGUCGCGGAAUUCCCGGUGUAGAGGUGAAAUUCGUAGAUAUCGGGAGGAACACCGGUGGCGAAGGCGGUUCUCUGGGCAUUACCUGACGCUGAGGAGCGAAAGCAUGGGGAGCGAACAGG
rnacentral:rRNA from 1 species